CCUGGUUGAUCCUGCCAGUAGUCAUAUGCUUGUCUCAAAGAUUAAGCCAUGCAUGUCUAAGUAUAAGCAAUCUAUACAGUGAAACUGCGAAUGGCUCAUUAAAUCAGUUAUCGUUUAUUUGAUAGUACCUUACUACUUGGAUAACCGUGGUAAUUCUAGAGCUAAUACAUGCUAAAAACCCCGACCUCCGGAAGGGUGUAUUUAUUAGAUAAAAAACCAAUGCCUUCGGGCUUGUUGGUGAUUCAUGAUAACUAAACGAAUCGCAUGGCCUUGCGCCGGCGAUGGUUCAUUCAAAUUUCUGCCCUAUCAACUUUCGAUGGUAGGAUAGUGGCCUACCAUGGUUUCAACGGGUAACGGGGAAUUAGGGUUCUAUUCCGGAGAGGGAGCCUGAGAAACGGCUACCACAUCCAAGGAAGGCAGCAGGCGCGCAAAUUACCCAAUCCCGACUCGGGGAGGUAGUGACAAUAAAUACUGAUACAGGGCUCUUUUGGGUCUUGUAAUUGGAAUGAGUACAAUUUAAAUCCCUUAACGAGGAACAAUUGGAGGGCAAGUCUGGUGCCAGCAGCCGCGGUAAUUCCAGCUCCAAUAGCGUAUAUUAAAGUUGUUGCAGUUAAAAAGCUCGUAGUUGAACCUUGGCCCUGGCUGGCCGGUCCGCCUAACGCGUGCACUGGUUCGCCGGGGCUUUCCUUCCGGCUAGCCUAUGCCCUUCACUGGGUGUGCUGGGAUCCGGGACUUUUACUUUGAAAAAAUUAGAGUGUUCAAAGCAGGCUACGCUCGAACAUUAGCAUGGAUAAUAGAAUAGGACGGCGGUUCUAUUUGUUGGUUUCUAGAGCCACCCGUAAUGAUUAAUAGGGAUAGUCGGGGCAUCAGUAUCAAUUGUCAGAGGUGAAAUUCUUGGAUUUAUUGAAGACUAACUACUGCGAAAGCAUUUUGCCAAGGAUGUUUUCAUUAAUCAGUGAACGAAGUUAGGGGAUCGAAGACGAUCAGAUACCGUCGUAGUCUUAACCAUAAACUAUGCCGACUAGGGAUCGGACGGUGUUCAAUUUAUGACCCGUUCGGCACCUUACGAGAAAUCAAAGUCUUUGGGUUCUGGGGGAGUAUGGUCGCAAGGCUGAAACUUAAAGGAAUUGACGGAAGGGCACCACCAGGAGUA
rnacentral:rRNA from 1 species